GUGGGGGUAGCCAAGCUUGGCCAACGGCGCAGGACUUAAGAUCUUGGAGCUGAAAGAGUUCAUCAGGCCAGAUAGGACAUCCUGUCCUUAGUGGUUCGGGGGUUCAAAUCCCCUCCCCCACA
rnacentral:tRNA from 1 species